rnacentral:rRNA from 1 species
GGGGAAUCUUGCGCAAUGGACGAAAGUCUGACGCAGCCACGCCGCGUGAGUGAAGAAGGCCUUCGGGUUGUAAAGCUCUGUCGGAAGGGACAAAAACUAUGUGAGUUAAUAGCUCGUGUGCUUGAUGGUACCUUUAAAGGAAGCACCGGCUAACUUCGUGCCAGCAGCCGCGGUAAUACGAAGGGUGCAAGCGUUGCUCGGAAUUAUUGGGCGUAAAGGGUAGGUAGGUGGUUACGUAUGUCUGGGGUGAAAUCCCUGAGCUCAACUCAGGAAGUGCCUUGGAAACGGCGUAACUAGAGUGCUAGAGAGGUUCGUGGAAUUCCCAGUGUAGCGGUGAAAUGCGUAGAGAUUGGGAGGAACACCAGAGGCGAAGGCGGCGAACUGGAUAGCAACUGACACUGAACUACGAAAGCGUGGGUAGCAAAC